rnacentral:tRNA from 1 species
AAGGGAGACCUAAUUCAGGUAGGAGACGAAAAAAAGUAGUCCCUACCAAGAAUCAAUCCCAAAAGGUCGGAGCGAGGCAAAAUUGGCUUUCAAACUAGGUUCUGGGUUCACAUAAGACCUGAAUCAGGAACAAGGGCUAUUAGCUCAGGUGGUUAGAGCGCACCCCUGAUAAGGGUGAGGUCCCUGGUUCGAGUCCAGGAUGGCCCACCUGCACAGGUGGCAAAAACAAAGAAAAGAAGCUCCGAAUCAGCACCUUAUCUUACUCAUAUAGUAAGUAAGAGAGAAUGCUGGCUCUGAGUUCAGAGUCCAGAGGAACCUUGAAAACUGCAUAGAGCUAGGUGAAAAAUCUCAAAAAAGA